GACAGAGGGGGCAAGCGUUGCUCGGAAUUACUGGGCGUAAAGCGCACGUAGGCGGCUUUGUAAGUUAGAGGUGAAAGCCUGGAGCUCAACUCCAGAACUGCCUUUAAAAACUGCAUCGCUUGAAUCCAGGAGAGGUGAGUGGAAUUCCGAGUGUAGAGGUGAAAUUCGUAGAUAUUCGGAAGAACACCAGUGGCGAAGGCGGCUCACUGGACUGGUAUUGACGCUGAUGUGCGAAAGCGUGGGGAGCAAACAGG
rnacentral:rRNA from 1 species